UCCCAGGUGGCUCAGAUGGUAAAGAGUCUGCCUGCAGCACAGAAAACCAGGGUUCGAUCCCUGGGUUGGGAA
rnacentral:tRNA from 1 species